UCUCCUGGUAUUUAAAGAUGUAGGAAAACUUGAAGAUGCUCAGAAUAGACUUGCUAUCAAACAGCUCAUCAAAGAGAUUGGGGAGCCUCGAAAUUAUGGUUUAACAGACGAAGAAAAGGCAGAAGAGGAGCGGAAGGCUGCGGAGGAGCGGCUGGCCAGGGAGGCUGCUGAGGAAGCAGAACGCGAGCACCAGGAGGCCGUGGAGAUGGCAGAGAAGAUAGCUCGCUGGGAGGAGUGGAAUAAACGACUGGAGGAAGUGAAAAGAGAAGAAAGAGAAUUACUGGAGGCUCAGUCAAUUCCCCUGAGAAACUAUUUAAUGACCUAUGUGAUGCCAACUCUUAUUCAGGGCCUGAAUGAAUGUUGCAACGUCCGACCCGAAGACCCUGUUGAUUUUCUGGUUGGAAUGCAAUGGCACAAUCUCGGCUUACUGCAACCUCCACCUCCCGGGUUCAAGUGAUUCUCCUGCCUUAGCCUCCCAAGUAGCUGGGAUUACAGGCGCCUGCCACCACACUCAGCUAAUGUUUUGUAUUUUAGUAGAGAGGAAGUUUCACCAUGUUGACCAGGCUGGUCUCGAACUCCUGACCUCAAGUGAUCCACCCGCCUCAGCCUCCCAAAGUGCUGGGAUUACAGGCAUGAGCCACCAAGCUUGGCCCAGGAUGAUUUUUAAAUUGUAAACAUUACUAAUACAAAUACAUGACUAAUAAUAACUUGUAAA
rnacentral:lncRNA from 10 species